rnacentral:lncRNA from 1 species
CAGUUUUACGAUUCUAGGGUUUAUGUGAAUUUGUGAUUUUUGAAUUAGAGAGAAUUGAGAGAAGAGAGAAAUUAUGAUGAAAUUGUUAUUGAUUUUAAUGAAAAUAUAUAAAGGAGGUAGCUUAUAUACAAUGUCUAGCUAAGGAGGUUGAAGCACAAGCAAUGUAACAAACUCUAGAUCUUAUUUGCUAACCUCUAACAAACUUGUAACAAACUUCAUAACAAACUAAAACAAAAUGUGAUUAAUCAUUGAUUGUGAUUAUCACUAAAACUAAACUUGAAUUAAAACAAACUAACACUGUAGAGCUUUCGGUCGGAUUUCGAUGGGUGUAUAAUUCAAAUCCAAUUCUGUCCAAUAUUAUCCGUUGCAAACUGAACUAAGUAAAACCGUUGACCCGCUGACCUGAAUUUAACCACCCGAGACACUGUUUUGUUCAUCGGAUAAUCUGGUUUCGGUCGGACCUCGGGUUUUUGUCCAGCCCUAAUAGAUGGUGCUCGUUGGAAAAACAAGAGAAAAUAUAAAAGUGAAAACAUAUAUAGAAACAACGGCAAGAAGCUUGAAAUGAUGAUAUAAUAACUUGAACAAAAAGAAGAUGAAGAUGACAUGAUUAAGAUUUCACAAAUAAAUUUAAAACUUAUAUGGUCGUAGUUAACUUUAGGUAUUAUUCACCGAUUUAUGUAAACUAGAUGGAAAUAGAUAAAAUACGGUUGGUUUGAAGGCAGACACUCAUACCCACUCAUUGCAUUCUUCCGUGUUUGAGUCCCAACCUAAAUUUUCAAAACUCCACAUUAUAUUCAACCAUUAAUUUAGGAGGAAGUCUUACAUAAUUACAAAUAUUUAGGCGCAUAGAAACGCAAAAAUACUAAUCUCUUAAUUAUUUGAAAAAUAUAUAUUAUUUUAUUCUUUUUGCUCUCUAAUUUUUCUCAAGUGUUUGAGUGUGAUUAAAUAGAGUAUGAGUUUCACACUAGUGUACCUUAGUAUGUAUAGGACUAUGAUCAUCGUGAAAAAAGAUACCACAAACUUCGGAGAUUGUAACUAUGGUGCAUGGAUGCCAAAGUACACACAAGUUUAUUUUUUCUUUUCAAAUGACCAGGUGCACAGAAGGUUAGAUCAGUGGCGGAUCUUGGUGGAGACCUGCAGGUGCCACUGCAUCCCCUAACUUUACUAUAAUUAUCAUAUUAUGCAUGAUAAUUCAAACGGAGCAUUGUUGUUGCAGUGGAUUGGUGAGUUUCAAAACCCCCCAGCUGCGUGGGUUCGAU